GAUGAAGAACGCAGCGAAAUGCGAUAAGUAAUGUGAAUUGCAGAAUUCAGUGAAUCAUCGAAUCUUUGAACGCACAUUGCGCCCGUCAGUAUUCUGGCGGGCAUGCCUGUUCGAGCGUCAUUACGCCCCUCAAGUCCCCUGUGGACUUGGUGUUGGGGAUCGGCGAGGCUGGUUUUCCAGCACAGCCGUCCCUUAAAUUAAUUGGCGGUCUCGCCGUGGCCCUCCUCUGCGCAGUAGUAAAACACUCGCAACAGGAGCCCGGCGCGGUCCACUGCCGUAAAACCCCCCAACUUUUUAUAUUUGACCUCGAAUCAGGUAGGACUACCCGCUGAACUUAAGCAUAUCAAUAAGCGGAGGA
rnacentral:misc_RNA from 1 species